UACGUAGGGGGCAAGCGUUGUCCGGAUUUAUUGGGCGUAAAGAGCGUGUAGGCGGCCAGGUAGGUCUGCUGUGAAAACUCGAGGCUCAACCUCGAGACGUCGGCGGAAACUAUCUGGCUAGAGUCCGGAAGAGGAGAGUGGAAUUCCUGGUGUAGCGGUGAAAUGCGUAGAGAUCGGGAGGAAUACCAGUGGCGAAGGCGGCCUUCUGGACUGACACUGACGCUGAGGCGCGAAAGCCAGGGGAGCAAACGGG
rnacentral:rRNA from 1 species